rnacentral:rRNA from 1 species
UGCCAGCCGCCGCGGUAAUACGGAGGGUGCAAGCAUUGUUCGGAAUUAUUGGGCGUAAAGCGCGUGUAGGCGGUUCGUUAAGUCUGAUGUGAAAGCCCGGGGCUCAACCCCGGAAGUGCAUUGGAAACUGGUAAGCUAGAGGAUGUGAGAGGUGAGUGGAAUUCCGAGUGUAGAGGUGAAAUUCGUAGAUAUUCGGAAGAACACCAGUGGCGGAGGCGACUCACUGGCACAUUUCUGACGCUGAGGCGCGAAAGCGUGGGGAGCAAACAGGAUUAGAUA